CUAAUGAUUAUUUUCUUACUAGAAUUAUUAUUCUAACGAUAAAUCCACAGAACUGGUUGAAGUCAUAUACAUAAGGAUAUUCUUGCUUUUUGCAUAACGGAUAAACUAUAAAACUCUUUUUUAAGAUUUCCCGAAAGUAGAAGAUCUAAUUUUAAACUCUCUUUUAGGGUGUGUUUCCUAUGUGGCAUUAUGGGAUAAAGAUUUAAAAUUAGGAGCGAAAAACUUACAAUUCUACUGAUAUCUGGAUUUCAACAGAAAGUAUGUAGUACUUUUGACAGACAGAUAGUGUUAAGAUUAUCUGUUAUGAAUAUUUUAAUUUUUUUUUAUUAAAAGUUAGGGCUAAUACCUCAAACUAAAAUGUUUUUAAAAAAAAUUCAUAUUUUAAUAAAUUUCUAUCAAAGUUGAAACAUUAAAAUCAAUUUUCUUUUUAAUUGAUAAUGUUUAUAUUAGUAAUAAAUUAUUAAGGAUUUACCUCUUAAUUGUAAAUAAAGGAACUCGGCAAAAUUUUUAUACCUCAACUGUUUACCAAAAACAUAGCCUAGAGUUUCAUUCUAGGUGAAACCUGCCCAGUGCACACAUAUUUGUAAACGGCCGCAGUACCUUGACUGUGCUAAGGUAGCAUAAUAAGUUGACUUUUAAAUGGAGUCGGGAAUGAAUGGGAAAAUGGGGUUAAGCUGUCUCUAUUACAUUAAAUUUAACUUAACUAUUAGGUGAAAAUGCCUAAAAUUAGAAAAAAGACGAGAAGACCCUAGGAGUUUUUAUUAAAGACCUAAAUUUAGUUCUAUUAUUUUUGUUGGGGCGACAAAGGAGGAAAAUAGAACCCCCUCUUACUUACUUGCCGACAGUGUAUGAAAGAAUAAACUACCCUAGGGAUAACAGCGUAAUUUUUUAAUAAAGUUUGCGACCUCGAUGUUGGACUAGGAAUUUGGUAGACUAGCCGUCUAUUUUUAUUGUUCUGUUCGAACUAAUUUUCCU
rnacentral:rRNA from 1 species